UCCAGGCUUCUGUAACUUGAAGUAGGGAGACAAUUUAGUAUCGUUUUAUUCAGUGAAUUCUUCACAGACUGAAUUAAUCCAUAAAUAUAUCCUUCCUGCAGUAACAAAGGACAAAAUAAAACCUUAUAAUGUAGAAAAGUAACCGUUUUUAAGAUGGUUGCACGGAUGUAAAGCUGAUGGCGGUUAUUCACCUCAGCGUGGCGCCUCUAUAUUUGUUUCAGUCAAGAAAAGCUAGACCUGCGUUAUUAGCUACAUUAACUUGAAAACUAGCCAAAGUUCAUUGUACACUUCAUGAAGAAAUUCACUCGACUAAAAGCUCAAAAUCAUGACUACAAACGGUGUGUCUUCCAGACUGAUUCAGUUUAUUGACCCAGAGGAGCGCCAUCGAGAUGGAAUACAGACGCCUUUCCAGCGUCUUGCUCAGCAAAUGCAAGACGUUUUAGGAGAUGGAGGAAUUCUCAAGGAAGUGGUGCAUGAGGGAGAAGGCCCGCUUGUACCAAGAGACGCUUCAGUCAGCAUCCACUUUUCUGGAUUCCUGGAGUAUUCAGAUCAGCCUUUUGAGUCGACUAGGAGCUUCAAAUUUCCCAAAAUGAUGAAGCUCGGAAAAGACAUGACUGUGUGGGGCCUCGACCUCGGCCUGCGGACCAUGAGGAGAGGAGAGUUCUCUCGUUUUCUCAUGCAGCCCAGCUACGCCUAUGGAGAGAUGGGCUGCCCUCCUCUCAUCCCACCAUGGGCCACGGUGCUGUACGAGGUGCAGGUCUUCGACUAUCUUGACUCAGCCCAAGUGGAUGAGUUCUUUGCACUUUUACCGGAAGAGCAGAAUUUGGCUCCUCUGUCUACACUGCUGACUGUAGUCGACACAGAGCGAAGCUUUGGAAACCGCUGUUUCAACCAGAGCCGCUAUGAAGACGCCAAACACAGAUACAAGCAGGCCAUGACGUUGCUAAGGAACCGUGAGCCACCGGAUGAAGAAGAGAGGAGGCGUGUGGAGGAGGCGAGCCUGCCCUUCUUGCUCAAUCUCUCCCUCACCUACCUCCGCCUGGAGAGACCUCGCAAAGCUCUGCAGUUUGGCCAGAGAGCUCUGGAAAUCAGCCCUGGUAACACCAAAGCGCUGUUCCGGUGUGGUCAGGUCAGAGACUCAAAUUAUUACCUGAAGAGUCAGGCAUGCUUAGAGAUGAAUGACUAUGAGAAGGCACAGGAUUACCUCACCAUGGCUCAGGCCAACAAGCCGUUUGACACAGACAUCAACAACUUGCUAAGAAAGCUGGCACAUUGUUACAAGGAAGACCUGGACAAGGAAAAACACAUGUGCUCCAAAAUGUUUUCUGCUCUCAAAUCUGAGAAGUGAACAUGUUUCCAAGUCAGUGGGAUUAGAGGAAUAAAAUCAACUACUAAGGAACUUGGAGGUCUUGUGCCCCGUUUACUCGCCAUUUGACAGCAAGUAAUCUCUGAGUGUAAAAAAAAUAUACGACUCUGGGCGUUCACUGGUACAGUGCAUUAUCACAUCAUAGAGCCAAUUAUCAUCGCUGUUUUAGUGGCUAUAAACCAUUAGUAAUUGCUUCAAGCUGAGCCACUGCUUGUUCAGUGCACCCUAUAGAGUUAUGAAUGGUUUUCUAGAGGAAGGAUGGUCUUGAGUAAAUUCUGAGUAUACAAAAUUUACAUUAUGACAACUGUCCAUGUGGUAAAUACACUAUAUGGCCAAAAAUUUGUGGACCCCUGACCAUUACACUCAUAUGUGUUUAUUGAACAUCGCAUUCAAGAUUUAAUCCCUGUUUGCUGUUAUAUUAACCUCCACUCUUCUAGGAAGACUUUCCACUAGAUUUUGGAGCAUGGCUGUGGGGAUUUGUGCUCAUUGUACUCACACAAGAGCAUUAGUGAGCUCAGGCACUGAUGUCAAACGAGGAGGCCUGGGGUGCAGUUGACGUUAUAAUUUAUCCCAAUUAUUCAGUAGGGUUGAGGUCAGGGCUCUAUGCAGGCCACUCACGGUCUUCCACUCCAACCAUGGCAAACCAUGUCUUCAUGGAGCGUGCUUGGUGUGCAGGGGCAUUGUCAUGCUGGACCAGGGUUGGGCCUCUUAGUUCCAGUAAAGGGAAAUUGUAAUGCUACAGAAUACAAAGACAUCCUGUACAACUGUGUGCUUCAGACUUUGUGUCAACAAUUUGGGGAAGAAUCACAUAUGGGUAUGAUGGUCAGUUGUCCACAAACUUUUGGCCAUAUAGUGUAUAAUUAUCCCACACUGUUAGAUUCUGAUUGGUCAGGUGUUGGCUAAUUUUCUGUGACAGCAGCUCUGACGGUAGUGCAGGCAGCAAGGCAAAUCACAGGUUUAUAUUAAUAUGCUUGUAUUACAUGCUCAUUUCUAUUUUUUGGGAUUUGUGUGAAAUGUGUGUUGUUAUUUUGGUUGAUAUGGUGAUGUUUUCUGUAAGGAGAUGUUAUUUGACAUUUACGGAAGGAGUCUCCAGUGUCUGUGCUUUGUAACAGUCAGUAAGUUUCCAUCCCAAGGAAAGACUCUCAAUUAAAGAUUUAAAUAUUUACAUUUACAAAUUGAAGUACAGAAUGCUGUGUUUGUUCAGCCUGCCUAGCAGAGGCACCAUAGUGUUUGGAGCAUUCUGCGUGCAGACCUGAAGCUGAUACCAUCUUAAAAUGGAGACAUAAGAUAGCAUUGGACCUGGAUGUCUCAGCUAGCCCUAGCAUGCCUCCUAAACAGAGAAAAGGUUUGUGUGUCUACAAUCUGAUGAACAUUCAGAGAAAGGUUUGAUCUGAUAAGAUGGUGCAGCAUGUCAUCUACACACACUGACAGAUUUAGCAUGGCCACCCAUCAGUAUAGACACUAUCACAACCAGAGUCUGAAUACAACACACCAGCUUAGACUGGACAGAACCUGGCAAAGAGGCUCAAAUUUUCAGUGACUUUUGUCUGCACUUCAUACAUAUACAUUAUGUCUGUAAACUCAACAAGAUCCAGAGAUGGCCAUAUAAGUGGCGCACACUGCAGUGUGCCACGUGCCGGCGAGUUCAUUUGGUGCAAAUGCAUAUGGGGAAGAGAGAAGAGGAAAUAAAAAUCAUAGCUCUUAAAUCUGUUCGGUGUGGCAGUUAAUAUGAUUCAUGCACCAAUAACUUCAGCAAACUCUGCUUUCCAUUUACUCCCUCAUCUCCGGCCUGGCAGAUCAAUGCCCUAUUCAUAUCAUUGCCACUGACAGCAGGAGCCUGGCCUUUUCUUUCCCUUUAGCUUUAUGAAAGACAUUUCUCUCACUUCCUCUCCCUUAAGGUCAUUUUUUCAGUUUUAUACUGUAGGAAAGGUAUGUUUUGAUUUCUCUCUCUCUCUUUUCUUACCUCUGAUUAAACACACUCCCCAGUCUAGGGUAGCACUGGGCUAAAUUUAGGAAUAGCCACCCCUCGAUGGAACUUUUUUCCUCGCAGAGGGAUUGUCUUUCAUCUUAUCUCUUAGAAUGGUGGUAUCUCAGGCUCACAUUUACUUUAUUUGGAUGAAGAGAGAAAUGUGUGAGGAAUUCACAAAAAGGGCUUUGCCUAAAGUUUUGUAUAGCAAAAAGAUUUUUUUCGAGGAAUUUUAAGGAACAUUUGAGAGUGCUGAUGGUUUAAUGGGAUAUGCAGAGGCACCUAGUAGGGCACAGUGCUUCUUUGUUAAUGGUGCCUAAAAGUCCUAGCUCUGGGCUUGUUUAUCCUGGCCUGUAGGAUGCUCCAUGAUGCAUUACAAAACCAUGGUAAAUUAAGGAGGAAUAAGUGAAUGAGUAGUAGGUUGCAUUUGAUUUACAUUGAAAAUUCUCAUCUACAAAAAAAGUGCAGUUGAGUUCAAAACCCUAGCGUAUGUUGGUGGACAAGACAACUUCAUGCUAACGGCAUAAAUGAUAAAUUGCAUAUUCUACCCUGCGCUUUUACUGAUCAAAGAGCGCAAAGCUCUGCCCACUUGUUUUCUAUUGGUGAUGUUCACGAAUUCGCACCUAGAUAACGUCAGCUUGAAGCAAAAGUAACCGCUACCAGAAGCAAAUGAGCGUUUUUCACAUGUUCUUUCCAGUUUGGUGAAUUGCUUUUUCCACCAGGUGAAUUGUAUUCAUGUUUGCUCUGACUUCAGCUUUAGAAAAGCAUAGUUAGAAAAGCAUAGUUUUCAGAGGUUUCCAGUAUGUCCAUAGCAAGUCAAAAAUAAAUUGUAAAUGUUACAAAAGUAGAACAUUACCUACAUCUACUUGCAAGUAUACAUCACAACUUAAUAUCAACGUAUAGUAUAUAAUAUGAAGAAUAUGAAUCGUAUAUAAAGUAGACUUUUAGAUAUAGGAGUAAGUUUAGGAGUAUGAAAACUAUACAUACUAAAACACCAAUAAUUAAAAUAAGUAUUUUCUUGAAACAUGUAUUUUAUGUAUUAACUUUUUUUGAUAAUAUCCUUCUAAGGGCUUAUCUAACAAACUCCUUGUGAUCCAAUAAAGCAUUCGAAAGCAGCCAGAAAAGGGCGUGAUGAGCGGAGUACAGAAAUGCAACCCUAGUUUGAUCCUGAAAGAAAAAUGUGUUUUUAAAAAAAAAAAAAAAAAAACUACCCAGGAAAGUUCUAACCAGCAAGUGGAGACUUUUGUAUAGACACUUCUCUCAGCAAAACACUCAUUUUACUUGAAGUGAAGCUAAAUCUUGAAUUCUGCAUCCGGUUGAUUUCCAUCAUUUUGAAAUGACAGCAUACAUGAGCACUAAUGAUGUGGUUAUAUUCCCCUAGUCAUCUUUUUGUUCUGUAUUUAAGGAUUUGUAUAGGUGUGUUACAUCUGUAACUCCAUAAAACGUUCAUUUAAUAUCCAUAAGUAAAAAGCAAGGAAUAAAACAUUUGGGGGUGUUCUGUUAUUGGAAAAUAAUGAACGACAGGGUGGUGUGAUGCAUUCUGACACAAAGCAGAAUUACUGUUACCACCCUGAAGUUUUCCCAUAACAGCACAUCCUGUGAAGAGUUUUAGUACACUUAUACCACAGCAAUUUGCCAACAAUUAUUUAUUUAUUUUUUUUCUUACGCCCUGCAUUCUGAAGUCUUUCCCCAUGGAGAAAAACUUAUAGCUUUAAUUCUGAUUGUUAAAAAGCACCAAUAUUGGAGACUCCUUCCAUAAAUGCUAAAUAAACGUCUCCUCACAGAAAACCUCACUAUGUCAACGGUUAUGUUCUUUUUUUAAAAAAACAUGGUUUUAAUUUGUUUAUUGUUAAAGUUUAGACUAUAUGGAGUUUGCAGGAAUUAGCUGUUACUAUAGAAAUGAUAAUAAUGUAUUAGAACAAGCUCAUUAAUAUAAACCUGUGAUUUGAAUUACAGCCAGAAUUACUAUCAAAGACACUAUUAUAGAAAAUUACUCAACACAUAAGCAAUAAAAUGACAUAAGUAAUAAAAAGUUCCUAUAACCACAUUAUAAUGUUGUAUGUUGUAAGUUCCAGCUCUGUGUUUCCAGUUCUAUGUUCCAGCUGUGAAUUUCUGUUGCUCUUAAAAAGCAAGUGGACUUGAGGUAUACAAGGCAAAAAAAAAAAAAAAGAACAUUUCACAUUUCAACAAAAUGUUUUCCUAUAAAAAGCUGGUUUGGGCCCAAUAAAUGGAAGAGAUUUCAAACUGGAUUGUUAUUAAAUGGAGAUUCAGUUUUAUUUACUUGCAUUAUAAAGUAUAGGUUUAGCUUAAUCACUGCACGUUAGCCAUUUUUUAAAAAAUGAUAUCCUGCUAGCUUAAACGAAAAUGCCAACUUUCUCAAGAGUGUGUUGGCAUGGAAGAAAUGUGUGUCUGAUGCUAUCUUCAUCUCCAUGAAGAUUAAAUAGCUGGGAGACAUCACUGCCAUCUUAAGCAUGUUUGGGCAGGAUGUUUUCUUUUUUUUUUUUUUUUUUUUUAAACAUGACUUCUAUAGUCUUCCUCCUGCUCUGUGCUGUAUUUCUUUGUGGGUGGUUUCUUUUUUUUUAAUUUUUUUAUUAUUUUUAUUAUUCUUUGUUUAUAUUUUUGUCGUCUUCAUGUCUGAGCUUUUUGCAUAACUUCUUGGUUCUUGCUGCUGCUGUCCUCCUCAGGAGAGGACUUUAGGGUGGAUGUCAGUGUUGAAAGCCCUGUCUGCUGUUAGUUUUUAUUGGUUUUCCUC